UUCAAUAGACCUUUCCCCUUUUGAGUGAAAUUUUGAUCUGGACAAGUCUGGACAAAAAUUUCAUCACAGCUUGAUAGAGCAUCACAAAAUUAGUGAUAUUCCGAAGUUUCGUUGCGAAAUGUUGUAAAAUGCGGAUAAUAUAGCCUUGCGAAGUUUGCCGUUUUUCAGUCAUUUUGUAUUACAAUCUAACAUUUUGCAUCAGUUUGAUCAUCUGAUUAUCAAUUUCCCGUUU